AGUGAACGCUGGCGGUAGGCCUAACACAUGCAAGUCGAACGGCAGCACAGUAAGAGCUUGCUCUUACGGGUGGCGAGUGGCGGACGGGUGAGGAAUACAUCGGAAUCUACUUUUUCGUGGGGGAUAACGUAGGGAAACUUACGCUAAUACCGCAUACGACCUACGGGUGAAAGCAGGGGAUCUUCGGACCUUGCGCGAUUGAAUGAGCCGAUGUCGGAUUAGCUAGUUGGCGGGGUAAAGGCCCACCAAGGCGACGAUCCGUAGCUGGUCUGAGAGGAUGAUCAGCCACACUGGAACUGAGACACGGUCCAGACGCCUACGGGAGGCAGCAGUGGGGAAUAUUGGACAAUGGGCGCAAGCCUGAUCCAGCCAUACCGCGUGGGUGAAGAAGGCCUUCGGGUUGUAAAGCCCUUUUGUUGGGAAAGAAAAGCAGCAGGUUAAUACCCCGCUGUUCUGACGGUACCCAAAGAAUAAGCAUCGGCUAACUUCGUG
rnacentral:rRNA from 1 species